rnacentral:rRNA from 1 species
GCUUGAGCACGUAGGUGGGUUUGUAAGUCAGAUGUGAAAGCCUUCUGUUCAACGGAAGAAUUGCAUCUGAAACUGCGAGUCUUGAGUGUAGGAGGGGAGGAUGGAACUUCUGGUGGAGCGGUGAAAUGCGUAGAUAUCAGAAGGAACGCCGGCGGCGAAAGCGAUUCUCUGGCCUAUUACUGACACUCAGUGUGCGAAAGCUAGGGGAGCAAACGGGAUUAGAUACCCCGGUAGUCCUAGCCGUAAACGAUGGGCACUAAGUAGAGGGGAUUACCGAUAUUCUCUCUGCCGUAGCUAACGCAUUAAGUGCCCCGCCUGGGGAGUACGGCCGCAAGGCUAAAACUCAAAAGAAUUGACGGGGGCUCGCACAAGCGGUGGAGCAUGUGGCUUAAUUCGAUGCAACGCGAAAAACCUUACCGGGGCUUGACAUGGUAGAAGUAGGAACCCGAAAGGGUAACGAACGGUAUCCAGUCCGUAGCUAUUACAGGUGUUGCAUGGCUGUCGUCAGCUCGUGUCGUGAGACGUCGGGUUAAGUCCCCUAACGAGCGAAACCCUUGUUUUUAGUUGCCACCGGGUUGUGCCGGGCACUCUAGAAAGACUGCCGUCGUCAAGACGGGGGAAGGUGGGGAGGACGUCAAGUCAUCAUGGCCCUUAUGCCCCGGGCUGCACACGUGCUAGAAUGGUCGGUACAAACGGAAGCGAAGCCGAGAGGUGAAGCGAAUCCAAGCG